GUAGGUGAACCUGCGGAAGGAUCAUUAUUACGUAUCCAACGUAUAAACCAAUCGUGAACCGUCUCCGCCAUGGGAAUUCGAGCCAAUGGCCUUCUGUAACAAAUGUUCCGUGUUAGUGAUGGUAGCUGUGCUUGCACAGUGUGCCAGGAACUGCAGUAAGGUCUUCUGUUUCUCCAAAAAAUCUUUAUUUUUUCGGAGGGCAGAGGCUCGUGCCUUUUGGUCGGUUUUUCACACUAACAAUUUUUUAUUA
rnacentral:misc_RNA from 1 species